GAAAGGAAAGAUCUCCUUGAGCCUGCUUCAACCAUCAGUGGGGUUCCUCAUCUCUCUGUUCACAAUGUUCUGGCUAUUGAAUUCCCUCCUCUUCAUAACUGGGAUUGCUUGUAAGUAAUUCUUCAAAAGCUGUUUUUGAAGAAACCAGUCUAGCUAAGUGCCCUGCAUGGAAACACCUGCUCUAUAUUUAUUUAUAAAUCCACUUGGUGUGCCUCCUCUUUUUUCAGGGGCCAGUUCAGAGAUUGUUCUCACUCAGUCAGGCCCAGAAUUGAAAAAGCCUGGAGAAUCUGUGAGACUCACCUGUUCCACAGCUGGAUUUGUUCUUAGCAGCGCUCACACGCACUGGCUCCGUCAGUCUCCAGGGAAAGGGCUGGAAUGGCUGAUAUACUAUUACUCUUCAACUGGUACCAAUUAUUACUCCCCAACCAUUCAAGGGCGGUUCACUGCCUCCAAGGAUAGCUCCAACUUAUAUCUGCACAUGAACAAUCUGAAGCAAGAAGACACAGCCACGUAUUACUGCGCCAGAGGCU